CUCGGUUUGUUGUACAUAUUUAAAAACUAAAAUCUAAAACCAAAAACACUAUAACAGAAAACAACUUGGCAAAAUCUUAUUGGUGAAAACUGAUGGGCUCGUCUACUGCAAAUGCAAAUAUGUUGGUUUGCAUGUAUGUGUGUACAUGUAUAUAAGAGUAUUUAAGGCUUUUGAUAUGUGUACAGAUGUGAAGAGGCGUGAAUAAUCAGCUGAUUAUCAGCGUCAAUAUACAAUAAUAUUUACUUCACCAUGGUCCAGUUGAGAUGUUUUAUUUAUUGUUUACAUUUAUGCGUGAAUAUGUAUGUAUACGAUCACAUGCUGUAUAAAAAUCUUCGAGGAGGAUUAUCAACGCUUCAUUCAGAUUUUUGCACAUGAUCACAUCACACGAUUUUAAAUAUUAUUCACAAAUUGCAAUUGCUAUUAAUUAAUGAAUAAUGAAAGGGCUUGUCUGAGCACCGUUUUUUCAAUAUGUGCGAAACUUUUUAAUAUAAUCGAAAUGCAUUCGUUUUUAAUUAAAGUUUUUUAAAGUAUAAAAACUACUCUGGGAUUCUGUUUACCUAACCUAACAAGAAAUUUUCCACGAAGUUUGUAACACACAGAAGGAAACGUCGGAGACUCCAUAAAAUAUAUACUACAUAUAAAUGAUCAGCAGGACGAGCUGAGUCGAUUUAGCCAUGUCUUCUGUAUAUCUGUGUACAUACAUAUGGGCAAAGCCGAAUAUCCUUGACGUCCAGUACCACCAAAUACUGAGAGUUCUGUAUUAUAUGCUUCUAAAUCCGGAUGAAACAAUUAAUGGGGAACGCCACCGACAACAAUGCAUCAAAUUGAAGCGAGGGAUUGCCGAAAAAACGCCCUGAAUUUCCGUCUAGGCAUGAGACAAUAAUUUUCCAUUAUGACAACGCUUGGCCUCAUGUUCCAAUGAAGGUUAAGAACUAUUUGGAAAACAGUGGCUAUGAAGUUUUACUUCACCCGAUUUGUAACCCAGAUCUUGUCUCUUCUGAAUACUAUUUGUUCCGGUCGAUGCAGAACGCCCUCACUGGAAUACGGUUCAACUCACGACAGGAUAUCAAAAAUUGAUUUAAAUAAUUCUUGGCGUAGUUCUUUUGGAAUGGAAUCAACAAAUUGCCCGAAAGAUGAAAAAAUGUUAUAUCUUCAUAUGGGCAAUACUUUGAAUGAUAAUAUUGUACACAUUUUUCUUAAAUAAACGUUUAAAUUUUGAGAGAAAACUACAAAAAAAUCUUGUAACGAGUUCUUAAGCACUCCAAACAUAAAAAGAAAAAAAUAUAGUAACUAUAGUAUUAACAGGCACUUGAGAUAUCGCUGUCUGUAGCCCAACCUAUCUAUCUGCUCUACCGUUAAUCGAC